CCAAGCGGCGCACGUCACCGGAGGUUGGCGCUGGUCAUCCGAGCCGCGGCCCGCGCACGCCCCUGUCCAGCGCACUGCUCACGCGGCCCGACCCAAGACGCAGGAAAAUGCACUUCUCACUGGCUGGCGUAGUGACAUGUGCGCUGACCUGUCUUCUAACGUCGUCGUUGGUGGAGGCGGCGCCCAUCGACGGAUGCAGGCCUGAGUUCUUCGAACAGCUUCCUCUGCGCACGCAGAAAAUGUGCACCAAAAUAUUGGCGCUCAAAGAAGUCCAGCGAGCCAUGGAAGAUUAUCUAGAGGACGAAUUGCAGGGACAGAUCGGGUUCAGUGACAACGGUGCGAAGCGGCAAGACAUGGACCACGUGUUCCUGCGGUUCGGCCGGGCGGCCGUGUAGUGGCCGCCGCAACGCCAUCCGUCGCCCCCAGAGGCGACUUCAGCGCGUCGCCCCGGCCGGCGGCGACACCGAGAGGCGCGUCGCAAUCGGAUCAGGCGCACCGUAAUGCGCGUCGCCGUGCGUCGCGCGCCCGCGCCAGGGC